AGCAUAUAAGUAAGCGGAGGAUAAGAAACUAAAUAGGAUUCCCUCAGUAAUGGCGAAUGAACAGGGAUCAGCUCAGCAUGGAAAUUGGGGCCCUCGGCCUUGAAUUGUAGUCUCGAGAUGCAUCGCCAAUGGAGGCGCAGAUGUAAGCCUCUUGGAAAAGAGCAUCAACGAGGGUGAGAGUCCCGUUUGUCAUCUGCAGUCCCCCAUGCACGGCGUGCCUUCUAAGAGUCGCGUUCCUCGGAAUUGGAGCGUAAAUUGGGUGGUAAAUUUCAUCUCAAGCUAAAUAUUGGUUCGAGACCGAUAGCAAACAAGUACCAUGAGGGAAAGGUGAAAAGGACUUUGAAAAGAGAGUUAAAAGUGCCUGAAAUUGCUGAAAGGGAAGCGAAUGGAACCAGUGUUGCUUGGCGAGAUUGUCAUACGCAUUCGCGUGUGGUGGUUCUUGCCUUGUGUGUCAACGCCAGUUCGCGAUCGAGGAAAACUCUUGGGACAUGGUAGCCUGUCUUCGGGCGGGUGAAUGUGCCUUGUAGAACUCAUUUGCGGACUGAUUACUUAGUGUCUGGUUGCAGCGCUUCUUGUCGCUUGGACGUGCUUGGGCGUGGGAGCUUGCUCCUCGCGCCCAGCGCUCUGGUGACUGGGCGCUUCCCUGACACAUAGACGAUGACUAAAUGGUUCUUUUCGACCCGUCUUGAAACACGGACCAAGGAGUCUAACAUAUGUGCGAGUCCACGGGUGGUAAACCUGCUGGCGCAGUGAAAGCGACUGCUGGGAUUUUUGCACCAGCAACCGACCAAUCAAUUGAGAGAGGUUUGAGUAUGAGCAUAUCUGUUAGGACCCGAAAGAUGGUGAACUAUGCCUGAGAAGGGCAAACUCAGGGGAAACUCUGAUGGAGGCUCGUAGCGAUACUGAC
rnacentral:rRNA from 1 species